rnacentral:rRNA from 1 species
UGUUCUUUGAGUCGCGUUGUUUGGGAAUGCAGCGCAAAGUAGGUGGUAAAUUCCAUCUAAAGCUAAAUAUUGGUGCGAGACCGAUAGCGAACAAGUACCGUGAGGGAAAGAUGAAAAGAACUUUGAAAAGAGAGUUAAAGAGUACCUGAAACUGCUGAAAGGGAACCGAAUCGUUUCCAGUGUCUAUAAUCUGCGGCAUAUUUCAUGUGCGAGUGCGUGCGUUUCGGCUUUGUGGCAGCGGUCUUUUGUCUGCGCCCGUUGCUGUUUGUGCGUGUGCUUGCGUGUGCCCUGUGCUGUGGUGGGACGUCAAGGUGAGUUCGAAUGCUGCGGGAAAUGGCCGUCGGGGAGGUAGGUCUUAAGCUCUGCUUUUGGCUAUUAUAUCUCGGCGGUUGAGUCGUCGCGGUUGGGACUGAGGUGCCUACAACGUGCUUUUGAGCGCGUGCGUGUCUCUGUGCUUGCGUUGUGCGGAUAGCUUGCUAUGCGCGUGGCGUUGCGUGCGGAUGGAUAUGCGCUGCUGCUUGUUGCCGUUCGGGACUUUGACGAAAUGGCGCGAUCCGACCCGUCUUGAAACACGGACCAAGGAGUCUAACACGCGUGCAAGUGUUUUGGUGUGGAAACCAUAACGCGCAAUGAAAGUAAAGGGCGCCUUACGGUGUCUGAGGUAGGAAAGCUUGUCGUUUGUGGCGGGCUGGCACUAUCGACCGAUCAUGAGCCUUCGUGGCGAAAGAUUUGAGUUUGAGCACGUGUGUUGGUACCCGAAAGAUGGUGAACUAUGCCUGAGUAGGGUGAAGCCAGGGGAAACUCUGGUGGAAGCUCGUAGCGAUUCUGACGUGCAAAUCGAUCGUCAAACUUGGGUAUAGGGGCGAAAGACUAAUCGAACCAUCUAGUAGCUGGUUCCCUCCGAAAUUUCCCUCAGGAUAGCAGCAACUUUUUUACGAUA